CGAAAGCCUGACGGAGCAACGCCGCGUGAGGGAUGAAGGCCUCUGGGCUGUAAACCUCUUUUCUCAAGGAAGAAGACAUGACGGUACUUGAGGAAUAAGCCACGGCUAAUUCCGUGCCAGCAGCCGCGGUAAUACGGAGGAGGCAAGCGUUAUCCGGAAUUAUUGGGCGUAAAGCGUCCGCAGGUGGCGAUUCAAGUCUGCUGUCAAAGCACGGGGCUUAACUCCGUAAAGGCAGUGGAAACUGAAUAGCUAGAGUGCCGUAGGGGUAGAGGGAAUUCCCGGUGUAGCGGUGAAAUGCGUAGAGAUCGGGAAGAACAUCGGUGGCGAAAGCGCUCUACUGGACGGCAACUGACACUCAGGGACGAAAGCUAGGGGAGCG
rnacentral:rRNA from 1 species